rnacentral:piRNA from 1 species
UCUUCAUUCUUGCUGGAGUUU